rnacentral:tRNA from 1 species
GGGCAGUUACCAGAGUGGCCAAAUGGGGCAGACUGUAAAUCUGCUGGCUUACGCCUUCGGUGGUUCGAAUCCAUCACUGCCCAC